rnacentral:rRNA from 1 species
UACGGGGGGGGCAAGCGUUGUUCGGAAUUACUGGGCGUAAAGGGUUCGUAGGUGGCCAAUUAAGUCAGACGUGAAAUCCCUCAGCUUAACUGGGGAACUGCGUCUGAGACUGGAUGGCUUGAGUGCAGGAGAGGAACGCGGAAUUCCAGGUGUAGCGGUGAAAUGACGUAGAUAUCUGGAGGAACACCGGUGGCGAAGGCGGCGUUCUGGACUGCAACUGACACUGAGGAACGAAAGCCAGGGGAGCAAACGGG